CCCUCCCCCAUGCACACACACUGCUGUGGACUGUAGUGUCACUGUUCAGCAAUGUCAGCUGGUCGUGUUACUGACGGCUACUUUAAAAGGUGUCCAUUGUGGAAGGCAUAUAACCUCUCAUGGGCUGGCGCUGAACUGCUGCACAGAUCUUACGUGGUUUGAUCACAUUGUUCCUUGUGGACUCGAAGGGAUGGGUGUCACCUCCCUGAGCGAAGAACUCCAGAGACAUGUCACAGUUGAUGAAAUCACUGAGCCUUUUCUGGAUGCUUUUGAAGAAGUGUUUCAGUGCACCCUAACUUCCCAUGAGGAAUCUAUUGGAUAAAGGGCUCCGAGUGCCUCACUUACCUGUGGAAAUGUGAAUAUUUCUUUGGUGCUUUCAUGGUGUUACUAGAAAUCCAGCUUGCUUGUUCCAUCUUCCUAUCAGCAAUUAAAUACGUGUAACAAACUGUA